rnacentral:rRNA from 1 species
CAGCAGCCGCGGUAAUACGUAGGUGGCAAGCGUUGUCCGGAAUUAUUGGGCGUAAAGGGCUCGCAGGCGGUUUCUUAAGUCUGAUGUGAAAGCCCCCGGCUCAACCGGGGAGGGUCAUUGGAAACUGGGAAACUUGAGCGCAGAAGAGGAGAGUGGAAUUCCACGUGUAGCGGUGAAAUGCGUAGAGAUGUGGAGGAACACCAGUGGCGAAGGCGACUCUCUGGUCUGUAACUGACGCUGAGGAGCGAAAGCGUGGGGAGCAAAUGGGAUUAGAUACCCCAGUAGUCCCUGUCUCUUAUAA